UUUUCAAUGCCCUAAAAAUUAUAUUAUAUCAUAUCCAAACAUUGAUUUCCAGUUGUUUCCUACAAAUAUUUGUCCCAUUUUGUAUAAUGAGCCAAUGGCAAAAGCAUGAGAAGUUAUUGAUUAAAAGUUAUAAAACAAAGAAAUCAACGGUAGAUUUUUUCAUACACAGCUCUGGAAAAAAAAUGGGACGCAUAUAUAGGAGGGUUUCAAAUAUAUAUUAAAUAAAUUUACAAUACCUUGGGUUUACAUCUAUGGGAUACAAGACUUGAUAAUGUCCUUAAAUUGGGAUAAAUGAAUUAAAACGUCAAUUUGCGUACCAACAUGUGAGAAAUCAUGGAGGUGGCCAUUUUUUUCAGCAUAGUGCAAAAGUAACUUUAUCAAUAUUAUUAACCUUUCAUAAAUAGGAUUUUUUUUAGUUAAUAUUGAUUUUUUUCUAACUAAAGGAUCAUGUUAGUCGUGUUCAAUGCACAAUCGCAAUUUCAAUUACCAUGUAAAACCUAAAUUAAAAUCAUGUGUAGCAGUUUGUUUUGGUUUGUCUUCGUCUCUACUUUCUGUUUAAAGUUCCAUAUUCCUACGCACAAUUACAAUGAUUGAUUUUUUAUGAUGAAUAAAAUAUUAUUUAAUAAAUCAUACAAAAAUUCACAUUAAUAUAAUUUUUGAUUGGAAACGAUCAUAAAUUCUAUAAAUUAUCGGUAUUUUUGUAGGGAAUAUUUAGGCGUAGUGAUAUCCUGAUUUUAGCGGAAGUUGUUGACAGGCUGAUCACUGAUCUUCACAAAGCGAAACCAAAUGAAAUUUAGUAAAACAGUUAUUAAUAUUUGAAAAACAGAUUGACUUGUGUACACUGAGGUACCAUAUUUAGGAAGCACUUCAAGUCAACAGACAUCUGGUAAAGUAAAGAAAAAACAGAGAAAAUCCUUGACAGUUGAAAGUGACACAGAGAUAGAUGAACCAGUGGUAACAACAACCAGUAAAAUUGCUAAAAGAUCAAGACGCAAAUGUUCUGGACCACAAUUUGUAGGGAGAGAAAUAGUACAUGAAUGGGUGGAGGAAAACAGCAACAGAAAGUGGUAUAAAGGCAGGGUUAUUUCUGUUAUCAAGAAUAAAGAUGGAGACAAAGAUGCUGUAUAUGAAGUUCUAUAUGAAGACUGUGAUGAACCUUAUGAGAUUGAUCAUUUGCUAGAGGAUUUUACAAAUUCCUCUUUGAAAUUGAUUGAUUUAUAGAUUUUUAGAAGACAGAAGAUAUACAGGGCAUUUUUUCUACAAAAGGACUUACAUUUGGUAUUAUAUUACUUUUAUUUGACAUUUUAUAUUUA